rnacentral:rRNA from 1 species
AAUCAACGCUGGCGGCGUGCCUCAGACAUGCAAGUCGAACGCGAAAGUUCCCUUCGGGGAGCGAGUAGAGUGGCGCUCGGGUGAGUAACACGUAGGUAAUCUACCUUUGGGUGGGGAAUAACAGCCGGAAACGGCUGCUAAUACCGCAUAAUGCAGCGGCUCGACAUCGAGACAGUUGUUAAAGCGGGGGAUUCCGAAAGGAACCUCGCGCCUAAAGAGGAGCCUGCGGCAGAUUAGCUAGUUGGUAAGGUAAUGGCUUACCAAGGCUUCGAUCUGUAGCCGGCCUGAGAGGGCGGUCGGCCACACUGACACUUAAAUACGGGUCAGACUCCUACGGGAGGCAGCAGUCGGGAAUCUUGCGCAAUGGGCGAAAGCCUGACGCAGCGACGCCGCGUGAGGGAUGACGGCCUCGGUUG